rnacentral:rRNA from 1 species
UCCUGGCUCAGGAUGAACGCUAGCGACAGGCUUAACACAUGCAAGUCGAGGGCAGCAUAAAAGUAGCAAUACUCUGGUGGCGACCGGCGCACGGGUGAGUAACGCGUAUGCAACCUACCUAUCAGAGGGGAAUAACCCGGCGAAAGUCGGACUAAUACCGCAUAAAACAGGGGCACCGCAUGGUGAUAUUUGUUAAAGAAAUUCGCUGAUAGAUGGGCAUGCGUUCCAUUAGGUAGUUGGUGAGGUAGCGGCUCACCAAGCCGACGAUGGAUAGGGGAACUGAGAGGUUGGUCCCCCACACUGGUACUGAGACACGGACCAGACUCCUACGGGAGGCAGCAGUGAGGAAUAUUGGUCAAUGGGCGAGAGCCUGAACCAGCCAAGUCGCGUGAAGGAAGAAGGAUCUAUGGUUCGUAAACUUCUUUUGCAGGGGAAUAAAGUGCAGGACGUGUCCUGUUUUGUAUGUACCCUGAGAAUAAGGAUCGGCUAACUCCGUGCCAGCAGCCGC